UGUGAGUGUGUGUGUGUGUU
rnacentral:miRNA from 1 species